UACGAGUGCCCCAAGCGUUAUCCGGAUUUAUUGGGCGUAAAGGGUACGUAGGCGGUCAAGUAAGUCAGGGGUAAAAUCCCGGGGCUCAACCCCGGAUCUGCCUUUGAAACUACUCGACUAGAGGCUGGAAGAGGCAAGUGGAAUUGCUGGUGUAGGGGUAAAAUCCGUUAAUAUCAGCAGGAACACCAAAUGCGAAGGCAACUUGCUAGAACAGUCCUGACGCUAAUGUACGAAAGCGUGGGUAGCGAAUGGGAUUAGAUACCCCAGUAGUCCACGCCGUAAACGAUGGAUACUAGACAUUGAGAGUAUCGACCCUCUCAGUGUCGGUGAAACAAGCUAACGCAUUAAGUAUCCCGCCUGGGGAGUACGGCCGCAAGGCUAAAACUCAAAGGAAUUGACGGGGACCCGCACAAGCGGUGGAGCACGUGGUUUAAUUCGAUGAUAAGCGAGGAACCUCACCAAGGUUUGACAUCUAGCUGCACGCCCUAGGAAACUAGGGCAGCCUUCGAGGGUGCUAGACAGGUGCUGCAUGGUUGCCGUCAGCUCGUGUCGUGAGAUGUACAGUUAAGUCUGGAAACGAGCGCAACCCCUGCCCUCAUUUGUAUAUUUAUGAGGGGACUGCCGUGUCCAACACGGAGGAAGGUGGGGAUGACGUCAAAUCAGCAUGGCCCUUACACCUUGGGCGACACACAUGCUACAAUGGCCAGUACAAAGGGUUGCCAAGCGGUAACGCGGAGCUAAUCCCAACAAAGCUGGUCUCAGUUCGGAUUGAGGUCUGAAACUCGACCUCAUGAAGCUGGAAUCGCUAGUAACCGUAAAUCAGCCACGUUACGGUGAAUACGUUCUCGGGUCU
rnacentral:rRNA from 1 species